rnacentral:rRNA from 1 species
UAAUACGGAGGGGGCUAGCGUUGUUCGGAAUUACUGGGCGUAAAGCGUGCGUAGGCGGUUUGCUAAGUUGGGCGUGAAAGCCCGGGGCUCAACCCCGGAACUGCGUUCAAAACUGGCAGACUAGAGGCCGGAAGAGGAGAGCGGAAUUCCCAGUGUAGAGGUGAAAUUCGUAGAUAUUGGGAAGAACACCAGUGGCGAAGGCGGCUCUCUGGUCCGGUACUGACGCUGAGGCACGAAAGCGUGGGGAGCGAACAGGAUUAGAUACCCUGGUAGUCCACGCCGUAAACGAUGGGUGCUAGACGUCGGGGGGCUUGCCCUUCGGUGUCGCAGCUAACGCAUUAAGCACUCCGCCUGGGGAGUACGGCCGCAAGGUUA